AACAUACUGCACCUAGUAGGAAAUAUAUAAGAAAAAGUCAGUUUUGGUCAAUGUUAAGGAAAUCAAAAUCAAAAACACUUUAUUUCUAAUUGAGUAGAUUAAAUCAUUUCUGAAAAGUAUUCAUACCAUAGCAGAGUUAAUUAUUUGAACCACAGUCUAAAGAAAUUCAGCUUGCCAAACAUGCAGGAGGAUUUUGUACCAGCAGUAAUAGGGAUUGUAUCACUGUGGUACACUUUUGGUAGCGGCACCAGACUUGAUGUUGGAAGUAACAGUGUCCCCACCCUCACCGUCCUGCCCCCCUCUAGUGAGGAACUGUCCAGUACAACAACAGCCACACUGACGUGUCUGGCCAACAAGGGCUUCCCCUCAGACUGGACCAUGAGCUGGAAAGUGGACGGGACCAGCAAGAACCAGGAGACCAGUCCUGGGGUCCUGGAGAAGGACGGCCUGUACAGCUGGAGCAGCACCUUGACUCUCACUGCCCAGGAGUGGACCAAGGCAGGAGAGGUGACCUGUGAAGCCCAGCAGAAAUCCCAGACUCCAGUCACCAAGACCCUGAGGAAGGCUGACUGUUCUGGGUAGCACCCCUCAGUCACACACCCCUGUGGAGAGAGGCUGCUGGUUCCUCUGCUUUGACUCUGUUCUGAGAUCAGAUGUUCUGUCUGAUUGAUCACUGACAUGUAGACAAACAGAGGGCUUUGCUUGAGUUCAUGUGUCAAUCCUCUCUGUAGACUGAGGUUGAAUCAGUGUUAGAUUUGAUGUGUUCUGUUUUAUUACUAUUAGAUACUGAAGGAAUAUUUGCUUUGAUGCUUUGAUGAAUAGAUGAAAAUAAAGAUUUCCCUUUGGAACAAA